UCAAAACUUUCUACUUACCUACAGUCCCUGUAAUAAAUUGCAUAUAUUAGUAGAACUUUCAGUAUCUAAUAUCCAGAUAGUAGUAUCACAAAUAGAGAAAUUAUAAUGAGUUAUCAUAUAAGUACCUUGUGAAGCAACCGUUUGCUUCUUUCUCUUAUUUUUAGGUCUGUUUAGAUCAAGGGUGGCUAUAUAAGCAGGAUAAUUCCUUUCCCAAUGAUCUAGCUUCUUACAGAAGAAGUACUUUAUCUAGCUCUUGUUAACUUUUGAUGGUUUACUCUACUUG
rnacentral:lncRNA from 1 species